ACGGAGGGUGCAAGCGUUAUCCGGAUUCACUGGGUUUAAAGGGUGUGUAGGCGGGCUGUUAAGUCAGUGGUGAAAUCUCCGGGCUCAACCCGGAAACUGCCAUUGAUACUAUCAGUCUUGAAUAUCGUUGAGGUUGGCGGAAUAUAUCAUGUAGCGGUGAAAUGCUUAGAUAUGAUAUAGAACACCGAUUGCGAAGGCAGCUAACUAAGCGAUGAUUGACGCUGAGGCACGAAAGCGUGGGGAUCAAACAGGA
rnacentral:rRNA from 1 species